rnacentral:rRNA from 1 species
CCCUUAGAUGUUCUGGGCCGCACGCGCGCUACACUGAUUCAUGCAACAAGUUUUGUCCUUGGCUGAUAGGCCUGGGUAAUCUUUGAACGUGAAUCGUGAUGGGGAUAGAUGAUUGCAAUUAUUCAUCUUCAACGAGGAAUUCCUAGUAAACGCAAGUCAUCAGCUUACAUUGAUUACGUCCCUGCCCUUUGUACACACCGCCCGUCGCACCUACCGAUUGAAUGGUCCGGUGAAAUCUUCGGAUCUGAGAGAUGUCUGAUUAAUUUCGGACGCCUUUUGGAAAAGUUGCUUAAACCUUACCAUUUAGAGGAAGGUGAAGUCGUAACA